GACGAACGCUGGCGGCGUGCUUAACACAUGCAAGUCGAACGGAGUGGCGAACGGGUGAGUAACACGUGGGUGACCUGCCCUGCACUUCGGGAUAAGCCUGGGAAACUGGGUCUAAUAACGGAUAGUGUGUGAUGGGCCCGCGGCCUAUCAGCUUGUUGGUGGGGUAAUGGCCUACCAAGGCGGCGACGGGUAGCCGGCCUGAGAGGGUGGACGGCCACAUUGUGACUGAGACACGGGCCAGAGUCCUACGGGAGGCAGCAGUGGGGAAUAGUGUACACUGCGCGGAAGCCUGAUGCAGCGACGCUGCGUGGGGGAUGACGUACGUCGGGUUGUAAACUGCUUUAACCAUCGACGCGGUAGAUGGAGAAGAAGCACCGGCUAACUACGUGCCAGCAGCCGCGGUAAUUC
rnacentral:rRNA from 1 species